rnacentral:rRNA from 1 species
UACGUAGGGAGCAAGCGUUGUCCGGAAUCAUUGGGCGUAAAGCGCGCGUAGGCGGCCUUGUAAGUCCGUUGUGAAAGCCCCGGGCUCAACCUGGGAAUUGCAUUUGAGACUGCAUAGCUAGGGUGCGGAAGAGGGAAGCGGAAUUUCCGGAGUAGCGGUGAAAUGCGUAGAUAUCGGAAGGAACACCAGUGGCGAAAGCGGCUUCCUGGUCCAGCACCGACGUUCAGGCACGAAAGCGUGGGGAGCAAACAGG